rnacentral:lncRNA from 1 species
CGCGCCCGAAAAGAACGUGCGGCCCAUGAUGCACACCCCUAUAGGUGGGCUGAAUGAGACCCAUCAGGAAGAACCAAAGACUGAGCCUAAUCCUGAGGCUCGAUCCAGUGGACCCGCACCUGAGGGAGAAGGAAUUGGGCUGAACACUCAGCCCAGCAGGAGUCGCAGGCUAGCCGAGGAGAAACUCAGGCAGGUUGUUGACCCGUGAUGCCUAAGGGUGGUGCACGUGCGGGCUCGACCCAAGCCACAUGUGCAUGUGCAAGUUCCCUAGCCUGCACGGGUGAGGUGUCU